CCCCCCCCAGAAAAUCAAAUGGUUGCUGCCUUAUCUAUACAUGCUAUAUAUAUACACACAUAACUCAUCUAAACAUCAGCAAGGUUAGAUCUGUAAAUUUGAUUUCCCAAAUUGUUUAUGUUCUUCCCUCGCCGGGAUUCGAACUCAUGCUUCUGAGAUAUCGCGACACCAAAUCGCCUACGUUGUAUGUGACGCGCUAGACCACUCGACCACCUUGUCUUCACAAAAAUAAAGCUUUCGGGGGUCGGGUGUUUCCUUUCCUCGUCAGUUUUAAUCUAGCGUCGUUAUACAUUACAUGAUAUAUAAGACAUGAAGAUGGUAUUCUUACAGAUCAGCUGAAUUAUCUAUUGUAAAGGAUCCUACAAAUAUUAAAUGUAUGUGUGUAAUUGUUUUCUUUUGUUUUACCCUUAUUUGAUGUCUUUUUCUUUUCUUUUUUUCUUUCUUUUCGUUCUUUCUUACAGGUAAUCAGGCAGAUAACGUCAGCUAACAAUUUGGGAAGGAUGAUCACCUUAAACCAAUUAUCAUGACAUUAAUAUGACAAGCUUAUUGCACCUCAUGCAUGGUAUCAUUUGUUUUGAUUAUUUAUUUAGAUUAAACUUGAGACACUCCGUACAAGAAAAGUAAAAACAAAC
rnacentral:lncRNA from 1 species